AGUGAACGCUGGCGGCAGGCCUAACACAUGCAAGUCGAGCGGCAGCGCGGGGGCAACCCUGGCGGCGAGCGGCGGACGGGUGAGGAAUUCGUCGGAAUCUGCCUUUUUGUGGGGGAUAACGUAGGGAAACUUACGCUAAUACCGCAUACGUCCUACGGGAGAAAGUGGGGGACCGCAAGGCCUCACGCAGAAAGAUGAGCCGACGACCGAUUAGCUAGUUGGUGGGGUAAAGGCCCACCAAGGCGACGAUCGGUAGCUGGUCUGAGAGGAUGAUCAGCCACACUGGGACUGAGACACGGCCCAGACUCCUACGGGAGGCAGCAGUGGGGAAUAUUGGACAAUGGGCGCAAGCCUGAUCCAGCCAUGCCGCGUGUGUGAAGAAGGCCUUCGGGUUGUAAAGCACUUUGUCCGGAAAGAAAUCCCUGGAGCUAAUACCUUCGGGGGAUGACGGUACCGGAAGAAUAAGCACCGGCUAACUUCGUG
rnacentral:rRNA from 1 species